GGAUUUGUGGCGAUAUCGUAACCAAUUAGGUACAACCGAGGUGCGAUUAUUGCUAGUUGAAAACUAAUACCAAAUCCACUGAAGGCGGCUGGGGUAUGCUAAUUGGGCAUACCGACCAGCCGAUCUUCAGCUUACCUUUCUCGGU